GGUCCCACUUGGAUGCAUCAGAACCCUAAUCCCUCGGACCAUAAACUCGAUACUUGAGCUUGUGGCUAAAUUAGUGGGGGAAUCUGAAGGCAAAGAAGAUGAAGUCAGGUCAUGUUUAGGCGACGAAGAGAUGGCUGCGGCAGGUGAAGGUGUGAUGCUUGCCAUAGCUGAACAACUAUCUUGCCCUGGAGAUGCAAUGGAGGGAUUAUGAUUGCUAACUACAGAAUUUGCUGCCAGCAAUUCCAAUAUUUUUAUUCUCUUGGAAAGAAAAUGCAAAAAUAGUGCUCAUCAGUUGAAGCCAGCAAACCUUUUUCUCUGGAAUUGGAAAGCAGACAAGAAGGCAUUUGGUAAAUAUAUUGGCCCAUUAGAAUAUAGGAACAGGUAGGAAAUGACAUCAAAAGAAGGUUCUGAAACUAGGAGUGGUUUUCUAUUCUUCAACAAAACUAUAGAGUAACCUUGCGGUUACCUCCUCCCUCAGUGAAGAUUUUGUGAGUUCAUCUUAUAUCACAGUUAAAGCUUCUACUUGGAGGCAGGUGUUAUUCAUGUCAAAUCAUCUAAAAUAGCAUGGAGACGCAAGUUUGAGUUACUCUCUAUCCUGAUUUACCGACUUGUACUCUAAGAUAGUAAAAAACGUUUGAUAUCUGUACACUGUUCUAUGGUGUCAUAUGCAUGCACACAUCUGCCAUGGAUAUGCAUAAAGACACAACAUAAACCCGCAUCCCCAUUGAGCACCAGUCAACGUCUUCGAGCUGUGUA